rnacentral:misc_RNA from 1 species
GUCAUAACUGUUUCUGUAUAAAUUGCAAUGUGAUUGGUAAACUUUUUUUUUCUUUUGUGCAAAUUUCAUGGCAUUUAAUAAGAUUAAUUUUGAUUCAUUCUUUGCUAAUUGUUGGACUCUAAAUGAUAGGUUUUUAGCUUAUAUAUCGUAAAUUCAUGGAUAAGCAUUAUUAAAGAAACAUAAAAAUCAUAGUUCUAAUUUCUUUUUUCUA